rnacentral:rRNA from 1 species
GAUGAACGCUAGCGGGAGGCUUAACACAUGCAAGUCGAGGGGCAGCACGUCUUCGGAUGGUGGCGACCGGCGAACGGGUGCGUAACGCGUAUGCAACCUACCCUUAACAGGAGAAUAGCCCAGAGAAAUUUGGAUUAAUACUCCAUAGUAUUACGGAUUCGCAUGUUUCUGUAAUUAAAGUUCCAACGGUUAAGGAUGGGCAUGCGUGACAUUAGCUUGUUGGUGAGGUAACGGCUCACCAAGGCAACGAUGUCUAGGGGUUCUGAGAGGAUGAUCCCCACACUGGUACUGAGACACGGACCAGACUCCUACGGGAGGCAGCAGUGAGGAAUAUUGGACAAUGGAGGAAACUCUGAUCCAGCCAUCCCGCGUGCAGGAAGAAGGCCCUAUGGGUUGUAAACUGCUUUUAUACAGGAAUAAACCCCUCUACGUGUAGAGGGCUGAAGGUACUGUAAGAAUAAGCACCGGCUAACUCCGUGCCAGCAGCCGCGGUAAAGUCGUACG